GGGAAGGUGGCUCAGUGGUAAAGUGCUUGCCUUGCAUGCAUGAGGCCCUGGGUUCCAUUCCUCAUUCCUC
rnacentral:tRNA from 1 species